rnacentral:rRNA from 2 species
UUUGAUGAAGUUUUCGGAUGGAUUUAAACAGCUUAGUGGCGGACGGGUGAGUAACGCGUGGGUAACCUGCCUCAUAGAGGGGGACAACAGUUGGAAACGACUGCUAAUACCGCAUAGUAAGAAGAAUUCGCAUGUUUUCUUCUUGAAAGAUUUAUCGCUAUGAGAUGGACCCGCGUCUGAUUAGCUAGUUGGUAAGGUAACGGCUUACCAAGGCGACGAUCAGUAGCCGGCUUGAGAGAGUGAACGGCCACAUUGGGACUGAGACACGGCCCAAACUCC